UACGGGGGGGGCAAGCGUUGUUCGGAAUUACUGGGCGUAAAGGGCUCGUAGGCGGCCAACUAAGUCGGACGUGAAAUCCCCAGGCUCAACCUGGGAACUGCGUCCGAUACUGGAUGGCUUGAAUCCGGGAGAGGGAUGCAGAAUUCCAGGUGUAGCGGUGAAAUGCGUAGAGAUGUGGAGGAAUACCGAUGGCGAAGGCAGCCCCCUGGGAUAACACUGACGCUCAUGCACGAAAGCGUGGGGAGCAAACAGG
rnacentral:rRNA from 1 species